rnacentral:rRNA from 1 species
UACGGAGGGUGCGAGCGUUGUCCGGAAUCACUGGGCGUAAAGGGCGCGUAGGCGGCGCGAGCAGUCGGCGGUGAAAGCCCGGAGCUCAACUCCGGGUCGGCCGUCGAUACUCGUCGUGCUUGAGCACUGUAGAGGCAGGUGGAAUUCCGGGUGUAGCGGUGGAAUGCGUAGAGAUCCGGAAGAACACCGGUGGCGAAGGCGGCCUG